UACGUAGGAGACGAGCGUUGUCCGGAAUUACUGGGCGUAAAGGGCGCGUAGGCGGUGUGUCAAGUCAGGCGUGAAAGCCCCGGGCUCAACCUGGGAACAGCGCUUGAGACUGGCACGCUCGAGUUCGGGAGAGGAUGGUGGAAUUCCCAGUGUAGAGGUGAAAUUCGUAGAUAUGCGGAGGAACACCGAUGGCGAAGGCAAUCCCCUGGGCCUGCACUGACGCUCAUGCACGAAAGCGUGGGGAGCAAACAGG
rnacentral:rRNA from 1 species